AGGAGGAACAGCCCCAGUGGCGGGGCCAGCUCUGGAAACCUGGAUUCAGCCCCCGCAGUAACUACGGAGCUCUCGGUCUGCAGGGCCUGGAGGCUCCGGGGCGGG
rnacentral:pre_miRNA from 1 species